rnacentral:rRNA from 1 species
UACGUAGGGGGCAAGCGUUGUCCGGAAUCAUUGGGCGUAAAGCGCGUGUAGGCGGCCCGAUAAGUCCGCUGUGAAAGUCCAGGGCUCAACCCUGGAAUGCCGGUGGAUACUGUCGGGCUCGAGUCCGGAAGAGGCGAGUGGAAUUCCUGGUGUAGCGGUGAAAUGCGCAGAUAUUAGGAGGAACACCUAUUGCGAAGGCAGCUCGCUGGGACGUUACUGACGCUGAGACGCGAAAGCGUGGGGAGCAAACAGG